rnacentral:rRNA from 1 species
CCGCCAUGGCCGUGGGAUUAGUUUGAUCCUGGCUCAGAAUGAACGCUGGCGGCGUGCCUAACACAUGCAAGUCGGAUGUGCCCGCAAGGGUGCAUGGCAGACGGGUGAGUAACGCGUGGGGAAUCUACCUCUUUGUGGGGAAUAACGCUCCGAAAGGAGUGGUAAUACCGCAUGAGACCAACGGCUGGAAUGCUGUUGGUGAAACCUGGGGACCGCAAGGCCUGGGGCAAGGAGAGGAUCCUGCGUCUGAUUAGCUAGUUGGCGGGGUAACGGCCCACCAAGGCGUCGAUCAGUAGCCGGCCUGAGAGGGUGAUCGGCCACACUGGAACUGAGACACGGUCCAGACUCCUACGGGAGGCAGCAGUGGGGAAUUUUGCGCAAUGGGCGAGAGCCUGACGCAGCAACGCCGCGUGGGUGAUGAAGGUCUUCGGAUCGUAAAACCCUGUCGUCAGGGACGAAGGUCACGAGUUUAAGAGAUGCGUAACUUGACGGUACCUGGAGAGGAAGCCCCGGCUAACUCUGUGCCAGCAGCCGCGGUAAUACAGAGGGGGCAAGCGUUAUUCGGAAUUAUUGGGCGUAAAGGGCGCGUAGGCGGUGUCUUAAGUGAGACGUGUAAUCCCCGAGCUUAACUUGGGAACUGCAUCUCAGACUGGGGCGCUAGAGUACUGGAGAGGGUGGUAGAAUUCCACGUGUAGCGGUGAAAUGCGUAGAGAUGUGGAGGAAUACCAGUGGCGAAGGCGGCCACCUGGACAGUAACUGACGCUGAGGCGCGAAAGUGUGGGGAGCAAACAGGAUUAGAUACCCUGGUAGUCC